rnacentral:rRNA from 1 species
CCUACGGGAGGCAGCAGCAAGGAAUUUUCCCCAAUGGGCGCAAGCCUGAGGGAGCAACGCCGCGUGCAGGACGACGGCCUUCGGGUUGUAAACUGCUUUUGGGAGGGACGAUAGUGACGGUACCUCCCGAAUAAGCCCCGGCUAACUCUGUGCCAGCAGCCGCGGUAAU